rnacentral:rRNA from 1 species
UGACCUCGGAUCAGGUAGGGAUACCCGCUGAACUUAAGCAUAUCAAUAAGCGGAGGAAAAGAAACCAACAGGGAUUGCCUCAGUAACGGCGAGUGAAGCGGCAACAGCUCAAAUUUGAAAUCUGGCCCUUUCAGGGUCCGAGUUGUAAUUUGCAGAGGGUGCUUUGGUGUCGGCCGUGGUCUAAGUUCCUUGGAACAGGACGUCACAGAGGGUGAGAAUCCCGUACGUGGCCGCCGGUCUUCACCGUGUAAAGCCCCUUCGACGAGUCGAGUUGUUUGGGAAUGCAGCUCUAAAUGGGAGAUACAUUUCUUCUAAAGCUAAAUAUUGGCCAGAGACCGAUAGCGCACAAGUAGAGUGAUCGAAAGAUGAAAAGCACUUUGGAAAGAGAGUCAAAAAGCACGUGAAAUUGUUGAAAGGGAAGCGCUUGCAGCCAGACGUGCCCGCAGUUGCUCACCCGGGCUCUAGCCCGGGGCAUUCUUCUGCGGGCAGGCCAGCAUCAGUUCGGGCGGUUGGAUAAAGGCCUCCAUCACGUAUCUUCCUUCGGGAUGACCUUAUAGGGGAGGCGCAACACGACCCAGCCUGAA